rnacentral:rRNA from 1 species
UACGUAGGCAGCGAGCGUUGUUCGGAGUUACUGGGCGUAAAGGGUGUGUAGGCGGUUAUUUAAGUUUGGUGUGAAAUCUCCCGCUCAACCGGGAGGGUGCGCCGAAUACUGAAUGACUUGGAGUGCGGGAGAGGUGAGUGGAAUUCCUGGUGUAGCGGUGAAAUGCGUAGAUAUCAGGAGGAACACCGGUGGUGUAGACGGCUCACUGGACCGUAACUGACGCUGAGACACGAAAGCGUGGGUAGCAAACAGG